rnacentral:rRNA from 1 species
UACGUAGGGGGCGAGCGUUGUCCGGAUUUAUUGGGCGUAAAGAGCUCGUAGGCGGUUCGGUAAGUCGGAUGUGAAAUCUCCACGCUCAACGUGGAGGGGCCAUUCGAUACUGCCGUGACUCGAGUCCGGUAGGGGAGUGUGGAAUUCCCGGUGUAGCGGUGAAAUGCGUAGAUAUCAGGAAGAACACCGGUGGCGAAAGCGCUCUGCUAGGCCGCAACUGACACUGAGGGACGAAAGCUAGGGGAGCGAAUGGG